UACAGAGGGUGCGAGCGUUGUUCGGAAUUAUUGGGCGUAAAGGGCGCGUAGGCGGUGCGGUAAGUCACCUGUGAAAUCUCCUGGCUCAACUGGGAGCUUGCAGGCGAAACUGCCGUGCUGGAGUGUGGGAGAGGUGCGUGGAAUUCCUGGUGUAGCGGUGAAAUGCGUAGAUAGUCAGGAGGAACACCUGUGGCGAAAGCGGCGCACUGGACCACAACUGACGCUGAGGCGCGAAAGCUAGGGGAGCAAACAGG
rnacentral:rRNA from 1 species